CAUGGCAAGUCGUACGCUUCUUUUUCCACCGGAGCUUGCUCCACCGGAAAAAGAGGAGUGGCGAACGGGUGAGUAACACGUGGGUAACCUGCCCAUCAGAAGGGGAUAACACUUGGAAACAGGUGCUAAUACCGUAUAACAAUCGAAACCGCAUGGUUUUGAUUUGAAAGGCGCUUUCGGGUGUCGCUGAUGGAUGGACCCGCGGUGCAUUAGCUAGUUGGUGAGGUAACGGCUCACCAAGGCCACGAUGCAUAGCCGACCUGAGAGGGUGAUCGGCCACAUUGGGACUGAGACACGGCCCAAACUCCUACGGGAGGCAGCAGUAGGGAAUCUUCGGCAAUGGACGAAAGUCUGACCGAGCAACGCCGCGUGAGUGAAGAAGGUUUUCGGAUCGUAAAACUCUGUUGUUAGAGAAGAACAAGGAUGAGAGUAACUGUUCAUCCCUUGACGGUAUCUAACCAGAAAGCCACGGCUAACUACGUGCCAGCAGCCGCGGUAAUACGUAGGUGGCAAGCGUUGUCCGGAUUUAUUGGGCGUAAAGCGAGCGCAGGCGGUUUCUUAAGUCUGAUGUGAAAGCCCCCGGCUCAACCGGGGAGGGUCAUUGGAAACUGGGAGACUUGAGUGCAGAACAGGAGAGUGGAAUUCCAUGUGUAGCGGUGAGAUGCGUAGAUAUAUGGAGGAGCCCGGUGGCGGAGG
rnacentral:rRNA from 1 species